UGCACGCGGGGCUCCCCAGCCAGUAGGCUGUCAAAUCACUUUUAGUGACUCACAGGCCGCAGUAAAAAAUAGAAAAGCUGCACCUCAAGUAUGAAGGCUUUGCGCCCGGGACGCUGCGUCUGAGUUCACGUCAAGGAGACUCGGAGAACUUCCUGCCCACAGAGCCCUUCCACCAGCAGUCACCAUUUCCCAACUGCCAGCUCCAGAAACACAAGUGUUCCAAUGUGCAGUGAAAGCGGCUUCCAGACCGCGACGACCAGCAUUCCCCGAGAAACUCAUGUUUGCCUGAGAAACACGUGGAUCUCUCUGCAUUAGUCCUGUGGUUCUGUGGAUCCACCUGGGGGCAAGAGAGAACGGCCCCGCUGCCCUGCUCUCCCGUCCAUGAGGCGGGUCUGGGUCCCUCCCCCAGCCGGCGGCACGGCCUCUCCCAGCGCAGCCCCGGAACCAAAGGAGCGGACCACCUGGGGAACAGGCCCGGCCGCCGCGUGCCGCCCCCAACGCCAGCUCACCUCGGA